rnacentral:rRNA from 1 species
AUGGUGAAGCGCAGCCCGCUGCCGCCCCCGCCGUUGGAGAUGAGGCCGUGGAGGCUCCUGCUCCGCCCGGCGUCCUCGGACGAGGGGGACGACACGGGGGAAGGGGACGCCGGGGUGGCGUUUCCCCUGGGCUUGAUCUUGAUGAUGGGGUUGGGGCUGGCGUCGGGGACCCCGCCGCCGGCGAGGUCGUGGAGGAGCGGGAAGAAGGGCCACUUGGGGCCCUUGGAGCGCCCCAUGGAGCGCGUCCGCUCGGCGCGGUACCGCUUGCGGAGCUUCUCGAUCUUGUGGCGGCACUGCACGCCGGACUUGUAGGUGGCGGUGGGGAACCUCCCGCAGCGGGCGGUGACGGCGCCGGCGACCUCGUCCCAGUCUGCCGCCCGCAGGUUGCCCUUCUUGAGCGCCUCCCACUUGUCACGGUACGCCUCGAUUAGCGCGAGGGUCUCCUCGUGCGUCCAGCACGGCGGGGGCAGCCUCCUCCCGGAGCCGCCGCCCGCCCCUACCCCUCCCCCUCCGCCGCCGGACGAAGCGGCGGCCGCGGCCGCGGCGGCCGCCGCCGCGAUGCCUGGCGCGGCCAGCGGGGGGAGCUCCGGCGAGGAGGGGACGUCGUCCUGCUUGAGCGACGAGGAGGAGGACAUGGUCGCAGCACGGCGGCUAGGGUUUGGUGGUGGUGGUGGAGAUGGGGAACGGAGGAGGAGGAGGUGGAGAACCGGUCAUAUAAGGAGGCGCGGUGCGGUGGAGGUGGGCCGCGGGCGCCCGCCCGCUGGCGGGCGUGGGUGGGGUGGGCCGCGCGGUGAAAGGAACGACCGGCUGUGGAGGGGCAGCGGCCGCGGCAGCCGCGUGGGGCGUGGCGGUGCGGUGCGAGAUGCGGUGGUGGUUUUUGCUUGGAGCGGGGUUUGUCGCGUCGCGGGCGGGGCGGCGGGUGGGCGGGCGGUAAGGGGUGGGUAA